rnacentral:tRNA from 10 species
GCUGAAGUAGCUCAGUUGGUAGAGCAGCUGUCUUGUAAACAGCAGGUCGUGGGUUCGAGCCCCAUCUUCAGCUCCA